GCAAUUGGAAAAUCUCGGGUGGCUGUGCUAAGGACAGAGAGCCGGAGGAAAUGGGCCCGCGGGGCUCUGGAGCGGAGCCAGCCCGGUUUGUUUUGUGUGCUGAGCUUUGGGAGCAGCCAGGUGGGAUCUUCCUCACAGUGGGAUGUCUCCAGGGGGCCACUGCAGCUCUGGUCAGGAAUCCUGUGCUGUUGCUGGGAUUUGAAUCCUUCCUUUGGGAAACUUGGCCCUCCCAGAGCAGUCUCAUCUGAGCAGUCAGCCUCUGCUCAGCCUGGGUUCCCUAUUCCCUCCAUCCCUUCCAUUUUCCAGCCCUGGGAUGGUCCAGGACCAGCAGAGCUCCAGUCCAGCCCCUGCCCAGAUGUUACUGGGUGAGGAGCUGAUUCCGGGUGAUGGGUAUCAGACAUCAGGAAUAAAAUAAAUCCAAGCAAAAAUCAGACUUUCAAUCAGGCUGGAUCACCAGGAACCAUGAGCACUCCCACUCUGUCACGAUGUCUGGAGCAAUAAACCUCGGAUUCUCCCAAAGCGAGCAGACCAAGUUAAUUUGAUGUGGACAGGACCAUUGUGAGGGGUCAGCUGGGUGUUAACAGCAGAAUCAGGGUUUUAUUUUGCUGCUCUACACGGGCUCCAUUAUCCCUUCGUACAGGAACUGAGUUUAAUCACAUCUGGCAGACCUGCUGCCUGUAAUGUGUCCCAAUAUCCCAUUACAUUUUCAAUUUACAUGUAUUACCUUUCCCUGGAAAAGUUCCCUGCACUUCUGUCCGCGGAAUUAAAUGGCCAUUAUGAAAACAGAGCAGGACAUUUCAGGGAUCCGCGUGUUUGAUCUCACCCUGGGAGGCAAUUAGCGCUAAUGAGUCCUGUAUCCAGUGUCUACCUCUGAUUUGACUCCAAAGUAGAGCAGCUGAAAGGCCUCAAGCAGGUCGGCAAUUCCAGAGGGGG